AAAGUUUAGUGGCCCUUUCACCCUUCUGUUUUUUUCUGUUUGCAGCCUUCAAACGAAAAAAAUUCCGGCCCCCUGUUUUGGACCAAGUGGGAGAGGCUGCAAGCAACAAAUUGAGAAAGUGCAAGAAGGAAAGAAGAGGAUUUGGCAGACUGUGGGCAGCUUGGGCUACCUGUACCUGUGUCUGCGUGUGUGCAAGGCGGAUGGUAAGCUGAGGAACAAGGGAGGAUGCUUGCCAGUUCUGACGCAGCACUCUUUCUCAGCGGCCGAGGGCUGCAGGCACUGCAGCAGACACCCAAGCCAGACCAGUGGGAUGCUGUGGUUCAGUGAUGUUUGUUUCCAAGGUCAGAUGACCUAGACCGAGUUAUGAAAGUGGAGGCUGAAGCGCUGCACGCCGCCCAUCCCCCUCAGCCGCAUCUUCUACAUCAAUUGCUGCAGAAAGGGACCCAUGAUGGUUCUUCGGUCCUCCCUCCCUCCUCUCGGCUAUUCCACCAAUCGCAGCGCAGCUUCUACUCAGCCUUCCAAAGCGCAGGUGUCACCCACUGCGUCCCAGGCCUGGCCACUACCGACGUCAUGCUACCUAUAGUUGUUGUGAGCGGAUUCAGGUCCUGGCUUUAGUUAGUUGCACAAUAAUGUAAGCACCAGUUACAAAGCCUUGAUCAAUUUUUUAAAAAGUAUGGAAGGAUUUUUUUUUACUCAGGUUCUAGAACAAAUUGAUUUGAUAUGUUAUUGUUAAAAAAAAACGACAUUGAUGGGUCCAAGGGAUAGGAUUCUUUUCCUCCUGGGGCGAAAGGGGUCUUGACCAAUACAUAAACCGUGCAGUGCCAUCCCUGAUGGUGCCUCACUGUUGCUGGUGCAGUAUUCUGAUAAGAUGACAAUGAUACGAUUAUAACCUGCUUAAAUGGCACAAAAAUACACCGUGGCAUUUG